rnacentral:lncRNA from 10 species
AACAGCGGGUGGAAUUUUUAGCACAAGCGAGGGAGGAGGUUGGAGCGACGAGAGGCGGGAGCGGAAAGGGCGCGGAGGCCGGGGCUGCAGCGCGCUCCACCGCCCAGCUGCAGGUGGCGCCUCUCGCCACCCGCACCCCGCUGCGCCCAGGGAAGGGCCGAUGGCGCGCCGUCCUCCCUCCUCCCUUCGGGAAGCCUGCGACGUCCCAUCCCCUCCGACGCAGGCCCGGGAAAGGCUCAAAAGGUUCGAGGUCGCGUUCCUGCUAUCCCGCGGGCUUCUCUCACUCUUAGAUCCCGCACCAGAGGAAGCGGAUCUCCUUGAGUGGGCAAAGCAGGGGUGAGGGGCUGGGGGCAGUUCCACUGACAACGGGACGGGGGCGAGAGGGGUUUACCCAGUACAUACAGAAACAGCAGAAAAGAAAUCUAUUUUUAAUGGCUUUGGCUUUAUAGCACGAAGCAGGCACCCUCUCGUUAAAGGCACACAGUCCUCUCUUCUGCCCCACCUCCUGGGUCCUUAAAAUCGAGUCCUGAGUUCCAGAGGGGUCACUGCAAGGCAGCAGGGAAGGGAGAGGGUCACAGUUUCACUCUGUGAGUAUCAGACACCCAGGGCCAAGGCCCAGACUGGCCUCUGAAGCUACAGGUUAGAGUCUGGGUACAGGAGGCAGCCGAGAUGGUCCCUGAGAACAGACAGUCCCGGUCCCCCGGAGCAAGCUCCAUCCUCUGCAGAGCUGUGAGGUCAGUGCCCCACAUCCUGGGGCAACGUGAAGUCCCUGAAGCUGUAGAAGGAGAUGUCACCAUGAUCCACCAGGGCAAAGAUCAGAGGGACAUCCCCACUCUGGUAAGACAACCGCUUGAGGCUGCAGAGGUCUGGGACAGGCUCAUCAAAUCUGCAGGGACAAAGGGUUAGAGUGAGACCCAGCCAUAGCCCACUCCUAAGCUCUAGGGCUCCCAGAGAAGAGAUUCUACGGAAGGAGUUGGGGUGCAAGAAUUCUGACCCAUGAGUUCUGUCUCCAAAACACAGGGCUCUGAUGAAGAGCGCCCCAGAGCACUGGUUGGGGAGGUGCUAGGAAGAGCAAGGUGCUCACCACUCUUAGCCUGUAAAUCCCCACAAUCCACAUCCCUUCUGCUGGGUGAGUCCUAGACUAAAAUGGCAUUGGAGAAAGACUACCCUAAAAUGCCAGCAACGAGGAGCUCAGAGUAGGGCAGCACAAACUGGCUGUGUGGCCUUGUGUAGGUCACUUAGCCUCUCUGGACCUCCUGUUCCUCUCAGAGAUUGGCACGCUGGCCAGGGGAGUACAGAGGAGUCCCACUUGGUUCACAGGAGAACUGGCAGCAGCUGGGGGAGGGGCAGUGCUGGCUCACUGCGUACCCACUAAUGCACAUCCGGGCAUAGGGUUUGCCAGGGUUAUUCUUUCGGAAUGUGGCCACAGCGUCGGCCUGGUAAACAUCAAAGAUGAUUUCCAAGCCCCCAGACUUCUCCAACAGCCUGACAAUACAAUGAGAAACGUUAUGACAUGAACUCUUCUCCCCAACCUUUCUUUUCCAUCCCACCCUUUCCCUCCACCAGUUCCAGGAAGCAGCCUCACAGAGGUGCCACUUGAGGGUUGGGGGCUCUGAACCCUUGGGCUAACCCACUGGUUAUUCUCCCUCUUCCCUAGACACACACGAACACUAGUUAUUGCUCAGAGCUAGGCGUAGGGGUAGGAGUCCCUGGAACAGUCCUCUAGUUUACACCCUACUUCAGGAGCCAGUUCCUAACCACCAACUCCUGGCGGUCAAGGUACUGCAGAGACGGCACUGCUUGGAAACUUACCGGGCACCUCCAUCAGGAAGGUGUGUUGUCUGCAGCACAGAGAUAUGCUGAAGGACCACGGCUACAAGGACACAGAAAACAAGGUACUGGGGAGGGGAGUCACAUUUCUCAGUCUGCCAUCUAGUUUAGGACGGCCAGAUUUAGCAACUUUUUUUUUUAAACGGAGUCUCACUCUGUCACCCAGGCUGGAGUAUAGUGGCGUGAUCUUGGCUCACUGUGACCUCUGCCUCCCAGGUUCAAGCAAUUCUCCUGUCUCAGCCUCCUGAGUAGCUGGGAUUAUAAGUGUGCACCACCACACCCGGCUAAUUUUUGUAUUUUUAGUAGAGAUGGUUUCACCAUGUUGCCCAGGUUGGUCUCGAACUCCUGACCUCAGGUGAUCUGCCCGCCUCGGCCUCCCAAAGUGCUGGGAUUACGGGUAUGAGCCACCGUGUCCAGCCUAGCAACAUUUUUUUUUUUUUUUUAGUAUAAGCAUAUCCCAUGCAAUUUUUGGAACAUAUACUGAAAAAUUAUACUGAAAGUCAAAUCAAACUGAUCUGGCAACCCUAUCUAGUUACCUACAAUCUACCGUGUUCCCAUAAAGGCUUUAAGUAAUUUGGAAUCCGUUAACACAUUUAGCUUAUUCUUUCCCCAUUGGUUCCCUGGGCUUAGAGCAGACAGCAAGCCUUUCUUUCACUUGGCCAAGAAGGCACCUCCUUUUCCCAUCUAACAGGUUGGGAUCACAGCUAGUUGGUGGCAAAGCCAUCCACAUGCAUGUUGUUUAUCUUUUUAAGGAUAUGGUCAUAGUUUCCACCCCUCCUUACCUCUCCUGACUCACCAUCUCUAAGCCUUCCCACACAGGCCCUGCUGCAGCCGCCGGAGAACUGACCGUGCUUGUGGGUCCACUCCCUCCUCCCACAUCUUCCUUAAGCCUCAAUCCAUCCCAGUUCAUCCAUGCCCUUUCCAAAGUCCUGUGAUUCCUCAGCUGCCAGUGGCCCUCGAAGAUGUGGCAGGCUGAGGGGGUACCUGGGGAGCUGGCCUGGCCAGGACUCAGCAGCGGGGUGACGGGCUGGCCCCACAGGUGAGGGGCCCGGCGCUGGCUCCUCUGCACCUGCCGCCGCUGCAGCAGCUCCUUGUACUCCCGCCAGCUGGAGCACCGCUGCACCUCGGGAUCGGCGUUGACAUCUUCCUGGAACUGCGCGGCCUCCGCGUGGUGCUCCCGUUCCCGCCUGGAGAGCUUCUCCUUGCGCUGGUUCAGCUUCUGGCACCAGGACUCAGCGUCUGUCUCCCGCCCAGCCACGUUGGCCGGGAGCAGCUCUGGGGCUGGGGCGCGCAGAAGGGUGUGGCGGCUGUCUGAAGCCAUGUUGGGGAAGGAGAUCUGCUCGAAGUUCCAGCGCCGCUUACCGGCUCCCGUGACUCCGUUCUCGGCUCUGCCACUCUCCCAGCUGCACCCCACCCCCUCCCUGGCCGGGCCAGGGCUGGGGCCCAGGGACCCCAGAAGCUGAAAGGGGCCCCCUGGGCCCUUCAUGGGGCUUGACUCCUGGGGUUUCUCCUCUGGGCAUUGGCUGGGCUGGCUGCAGGGAGGUGGGCUGGAGGCUGCCAGACUCUUGGGUUGCAGGGAGUUGUCCAGGGCCUUGGCCUUCUUAUUAAUGGACCUGAGGGACGUGGGGGAAAAGCAGCACAUCUGCCCCUGGUUGCUAAGGUGCACACGUCCCAUGGGAGCUGAAGGCAGGUCCCCUAGUGUCUCCCUGAGCCUGCAUGGGAGCUGCUGGUUCUUAGAAAGCCUGUGCAUUUUCCAAGGUCCCAGACACCAGCACUCCCUGGGGGGCCACCGUGAUGUGGGAGUUACCGAGGGCUGGAGCUGCUCCUCUUUCUCUUGCCAUCUCCAUCCUCCAAGUGCUGCACGCUGGCAUCCAGGUUAAGCUGCCUCUCAUACGGGGACAGGACAGAGCUGUGGGGUGAGAACAGCGGGUGGGCCACUGACCCACCUCCUCAGCCUGGGGAUCUGGUGGGAUGUGUAAGGAAACGGGCCAAGAGGACAGUCAGUGGGCCAGGAUCGGAGCCACACCCAAGUGCUAAGGCCCUAAGCAGACCCCCAUGAGGGGUACAGGCCCAGCCAGGGGGCCCAGCCAUGUGCCUCUGCCUAGGCAAUGGCCCAGAGGAGCUAGCAAACUUGGUAAAUAUAGAAAAAUAAAAACCUUGGAUAACUAUUGUUAACAUCUUUCUUUCGUUUAUGUACACACUAAUCUCUCUCCAUAUAUUUUUUUCUAACAAAAAUGUCAUUGUACUAGCAUACUGCUUUGUGAUCUUUUUUUUCACUCAAUAAUAUAUUGUGG